GGAGAAGUACCCAAGUGGUUAAGGGGGCAGUUUGCUAAACUGUUAGAUCGGGAUUAACCGGUGCAUGGGUUCAAACCCCAUCUUCUCCG
rnacentral:tRNA from 1 species